rnacentral:rRNA from 1 species
GCUAAACGCGAAGAACCUUACCGGGGCUUGACAUCUUUCUGACCGCCUGGGAAACCAGGUCUUCUUCCUUCGGGAAGACGGAAAGACAGGUGGUGCAUGGUUGUCGUCAGCUCGUGUCGUGAGAUGUUGGGUUAAGUCCCACAACGAGCGCAACCCUUGUCCUUAUUUGCCAGCCUGUUUACAGGCGUACUUUAAGGAGACUGCCGUAGAUAAUACGGAGGAAGGUGGGGAUGACGUCAAAUCCUCAUGCCCCUUACGUCCCGGGCUACACACGUGCUACAAUGGUCUGUACAGAGGGUAGCCAAGAAGCAAUUCGGAGCCAAUCCCAAAAAGCAGGCCCCAGUUCGGAUUGGAGGCUGCAACUCGCCUCCAUGAAGUCGGAAUCGCUAGUAAUCGCAGAUCAGCAUGCUGCGGUGAAUACGUUCCCGGGUCUUGUACACACCG